rnacentral:lncRNA from 1 species
CUUCUUAAAGCUCUAGCCAGUGGGAAAGCGUUUGUGUUUCUAUCCUUGGAGCUCCAAGUGGGACUUCUUAAAAGAUUUAGAAGGAGCAAAGCUGUCAGGAAAUCAGAAACGUCACAUGGACUCCAUGACUGGGAAAAACCUCGUGGUGGCCUGCUCUCAGUGCUUGGAUGUGUGCUAGUUACAUCUCGGAGGUCUGAUUUUCUUAACUCUACUACGGUAAGAAGAUGCCCUCCAUCAGCAGGCCGUGUCUGCUGGGACCUCUCUGGAGACUUCCUGAACCCUGUGGAUUUACAGUAAGAUGCAGUUUCCUGGGGAGUAAUUCUGGUGGAUACAAAUUCCGGAGUAUUACACCUGGCUUGCCUGGAGAUGUUACAAGUAGCUGGAUGGAUUCUUCAGCCUGGAUGCCCACUGAAAACAAGGACCGAAACUAAGAGGAUUGUAUCUCUACCCUUGACUCAAUGAGAAUGUUUGUUGUCAUCUCUCGGGCUACCUGGAGCUCCCUCUAAAAUUAUACCCUUUAAGCGUUCCAGAAGGAUUUUGAGAUCCUUUCCUAAAUCAAAGGUGGAAUAUUUGGGGAUUUGGAAAAUUGAGAUGUGAAGCGUUGACUUAAGAGAUGCCAAGUAACUCAGCAGAUGUCACACAGACGAUAAAUAGCAAAGAUGGAAGUCUUCAUGCCGGAGGCAAUCCUAUAAGACAGCUGAGUUCUGCAGAGCUGGUAGGAGACAGACUUGCUCAGGUGAUAGAUCCAGCCAUGAUACUGACCCUAAGAGAAUGAGACGCUCUGCAGAAGACAGAAGAUUCCUGAAACUGGGAAAGGUGCCUAGAAAUCCUGAUAAGAGUGAAGAAGGAGCUGGCAGAGCAGCCUUCCUCCGCACUAUGAAAGACAUCCAACAGAGAGCAAGUUCCCACCUCACUUCCAGCUUGACUCCUUUUUAUCUCCUAACUGUGGUCUGUGAUGUCUUCAGCAAUGGUAUUAACUAGUUCUGGGUACCUGGAGGCACAGCAGCCAUGUUGAACCUAUGAGGUGAUGAAAAACCAUGCAACUAGAAACCAGAAUGGAAGAAAAGAAGAAGCUGGAUCCUUGACUGAAUUGUCGAUGGGGGAUAGUCCAUCAUCCCAGGGCUAAGACCACCUCCAGAUUUCUUGUUUGGUGAAACAAGUCCUGAUUGUUUACAUUCCCUCGUGUUGAGCUGUCUCUUGCUUGUAGCUGAAAGCAUUUCUAAUAGAUAUUCAGAUUAUCAGCCUUAGCUCCAAGCUAGAAUACUCUAUGGGACCUUAGCUUCUCCAUGAAUUCCUUUGCUCAUCUGUGUAAUGCUCAAUAAAUGUAAAUUGAACCCUGAAUGAGGGACAAUGACACUAUUGAAGUCAUGAUUGUCAAUCUUAUUAACGGACUAACUACUUAACAAAAAGGUUGGAACACUGCCUGACGCACAGUAAGCGGCUGGGGAAAGGGUUUGCCAAAUGGAGUGACAAGAAAACAGUCAUGUUUAUAGGCUUUCUUUUACAUCUUGAUCCAUCUUCAAGCCUCUGUGGUCUUUAAGCAGAACCUUGACCCCUUCAGUACUGGGGCUCCUGGAGCAUGACACGCCCCCUAAACUCUUGUCUCAAAACACCCACUCUAGCAGUUUCUUUUUGACAAAAAAAAAGCCUUCUUAGUGAAUGCUGGCUUGUGAAAAAGAAGGGGCUGUGAUCAUCAAAUCGUGUUAGUAGAUGACCAAAAUACCCAAAGCAAUUCAUGCAAAUAGAUUCAAGUCUCUCUGGGCAAGCCUUCCUGAAGGCUCUAGAAUUUCUGAAGCUCAUUUUUGAAAGGGUCUUUCCAUAUGGUGGCCUUUUUCUUUUUUGCACCUCCUCCCUUCUUUCUCAUCAGAGCUAAAGGGAUGCUCAGACUCUCUGUCCUUUCUGUGUAGUGAGGGACCAGGCUGCUGGGCGAGUGUGAAGGAGCGAGUGUGAUUUGGGAUAUUCUUUUCUGGUAUGGCAAUGGCCAGCCUUUAGAGAGGUCAUUUGAAGUUGGCCAACAAGUAGACAUUAUUUCAAAAUAGUUCUUGAUCAUUAAAGAACCAACCAGUAUGUCUUAAAAACAAACAAACCAAUCUUUUGGAAAGUUUCUGCUGAAUGUGUGCCCUUCCGACUCACUUCUUAUCCUUUCUGUCAGAAACACCCCAGAAAAGGGGGUCUUGCCUUUGAACCACUCUGCUACUUUAAUCUUCCUGCUUCUGUCUGACCUACCUUCCUUCUUUCAGUAGCCAGGAUCCUUUCAGAGUGAGCUCCAAAAGGUGGGGAUUCUCCAGCCACGAGUGCCCUCUGAAAUUCUAUCUUACUUAGAAUAAAAUAUCUAGAUUUAUACAGUGUCCCCUUGUAUGGGUGGUGGCUUUUUUUUUUUUUCUAUCAUUUUCCUGCUUGUUCACACCACUCUCUCCCUGGCCUUCUUAUGUCACAGAUUUCCUGAGUACACUCUGGCCUCAGUCUUUCCAUGAAGUAACUCUCCUUUCUAGAACAUUCUUGCCUGCAUAACUAUCUGCUUCUGUCCUCACUGUAUUCUGAUCUGUAUUUCUAUGUCAAUUUCCAGACAGGCAUUCUCUGCCCAUCCUCUAAAGUGUGCCCCCUGUCUUCUUUGCUGUUACCUGUAUGCCCUAAGUCUAAGUCACUGACCUUAUUGUAGACUAAAUUUGUUAGCAUUUCUUUCCAGGAUGCAAGCCUAGUGAUGAAGGAGUCAUUGUUCCAUUGUCAGAAUAGCUACAGAAUCCAGCCUGUUCUGCCCUGGAUGCUUUAUUAAGUAAUGAAGCUCAAUAAAACAAUUUGACCAAG